rnacentral:misc_RNA from 1 species
GAUGAAGAACGCAGCGAAAUGCGAUACGUAAUGUGAAUUGCAGAAUUCAGUGAAUCAUCGAGUCUUUGAUCGCACAUUGCGCCCCCUGGUAUUCCGGGGGGCAUGCCUGUCCGAGCGUCAUUGCUGCCCUCAAGCACGGCUUGUGUGUUGGGCCUCCGUCCUCCUCCCGGGGGACGGGCCCGAAAGGCAGCGGCGGCACCGCGUCCGGUCCUCGAGCGUAUGGGGCUUCGUCACCCGCUCUUGUAGGCCCGGCCGGCGCUUGCCGACACAUCAAUCUUUUUUCCAGGUUGACCUCGGAUCAGGUAGUGAUACCCGCUGAACUUAAGCAUAUCAAUAAGCGGAGGA